rnacentral:rRNA from 1 species
AGGGCGUACGGUGAAUGCCUUGGUGCCAACAGGCGAAGAAGGACGCGGCAAGCUGCGAAAAACCUCGGGAAGCUGCAAGCAAGCGAUGAUCCGGGGGUGUCCGAAUGGGGUAACCUGACUGGGGUAAUACCUGGUCGUUCAUACCUGAAUACAUAGGGUAUGAAACGCAAUACCCGCUGAAGUGAAACAUCUCAGUAAGCGGAGGAAAAGAAAGAGAAAUCGAUUCCGUAAGUAGUGGCGAGCGAAAGCGGAUGGAGCCCAAACCGAAGGUACUCCUUCGGGGUUGUAGGACCACGACAUAUUCGACCAUAGUGGAUAGUAGAACAGUCUGGAAAGGCUGGCCAUAGAAGGUGAAAGCCCUGUAGACGAAAUCCAGAGUGGGAAUUAGUGGUAUCCUGAGUAAUACAUCACACGUGGAACGAUGUAUGAAUCAGCGCGGACCACCGCGCAAGGCUAAAUACUAGUUGGCGACCGAUAGUGAACAAGUACCGCGAGGGAAAGGUGAAAAGAACCGCUGUGAGCGGAGUGAAAUAGAACCUGAAACCGUAUGUCUACAAAGUGUCAGAGCAGAGCAAUCUGCGAUGGCGUGCCUUUUGUUUAAUGAGUCUGCGAGUCAGUGUUUGUGGCAAGACUAAGGGCUUCCGGCCCGGAGUCGCAGCGAAAGCAAGUCCGAAUAGGGCGCAUUAAGUCGCAGGUACUGGACCCGAAGCGGAGGUGACCUACCCUUGGCCAGGUUGAAGCAUGGGUAAAACCAUGUGGAGGACCGAACAGGUGAACGUUGAAAAGUUCUCUGAUGAGCUGAGGGUAGGAGUGAAAGGCUAAUCAAACCCCGUGAUAGCUGGUUCUCUUCGAAAUGCAUUUAGGUGCAGCGUCACGUGCUGAUGCGCGGGGGUAGAGCACUGACAAGGCUAGGGGGCACACCCGCUUACCAAACCUUAUCAAACUCCGAAUACCGUGCAAUGGAACGUGGCAGUGAGACAGUGGGGGAUAAGCUUCAUUGUCGAGAGGGAAACAACCCAGACCAGCAGCUAAGGUGCCUAAAUAACGCUGAGUGGAAAGGAUGUGGGAUUACACAGACAGUGAGGAUGUUGGCUUAGAAGCAGCCACCAUUUAAAAAAUGCGUAAUAGCUUACUCAUCGAGUGAUCCUGCGCCGAAAAUGAUUGGCGAUCAAGCGUUAUACCGAAGCUCUGGACUUUGCCGCAAGGCAGAGUGGUAGAAGAGCGUUGCAUGCGCAUUGAAGGGUGAUGGCGACUGACCCUGGAGCGCAUGCAAGUGAGUAUGCAGACAUGAGUAACGUAAAGCCGGGUGAAAUCCCCGGCCGCCGUAAACCCGAGGUUUCCAGGGCAACGUGUUUCGUCCCUGGGUUAGCCGGGACCUAAGCCGAGGCCGAGAGGCGUAGGCGAUGGAUAUCAGGUUAAUAAUCCUGAGCUCGCGACCCUUAAACUGGGGGGACGCAUGAGAAGAGAUGACCAGGUUAUUGAAUUCCGAGCUGGGUCCACGGACCCAGCGCAUCAUCAAAUCGAGUGCCAAGAAAAGCCCCAGCGUAUGCUAAGCGACCCGUACCGCAAACCGACACAGGUGGGUGGGUAGAAUAUACCAAGGCGUAAGAGUGAAACCUGGUUAAGGAACUCGGCAAAUUAGCCCCGUAACUUCGGAAGAAGGGGUGCCUGCAGCGAUGCAGGCCGCAGAGAAAUGGCCCAACCGACUGUUUAUCAAAAACACAGCACUCUGCAAAGACGCAAGUCGAAGUAUAGGGUGUGACACGUGACCAAUGCCGAAAGAUUAAGGCAAGGGGUUAGCCGCAAGGCGAAGCUCUGAACCCAAGUCCCGGUGAAUGUCGGCCGUAACUAUAACGGUCCUAAGGUAGCGAAAUUCCUUGUCGGGUAAGUUCCGACCUGCACGAAUCGUGAAACGAGUUGGGCACUGUCUCAACCAGGCGCUCAGUGAAAUUGUAGUGGCGGUGAAGAUGCCGCCUACCCGCAGAAGGACGGAAAGACCCUAUAGACCUUAACUGUAAGCUGUCAUUGUUUCUUCGGUUUUAAUGCUCAGAGUAAGUGGGAGACGCUGAAGAUGCCCUUUAGGGGGCAUCCGAGUCAUCAAUGAGACACCACCCUUUGAAACUGGAGGAUCUAACCCUGAGCCGUGAAUCCGGCCAGAGGACCGUGUCAGCCGGUCAGUUUUACUGGGGCGGUAUCCUCCCAAAGAGUAACGGAGGAGCGCGAAGGUGGGCUCAGCCCGGUUGGCAACCGGGUGUCGAGUGCAUGGGCAUAAGCCCGCCUAACUGUGAGACCAACAAGUCGAGCAGAUGCGAAAGCAGGCCCAAGUGAUCCGGCGGUAGAAAGUGGAAUUGCCGUCGCUCAACGGAUAAAAGGUACCUUAGGGAUAACAGGCUGAUCACGCCCAAGAGUUCAUAUCGACGGCGUGGUUUGGCACCUCGAUGUCGGCUCGUCGCAUCCUGGGGCUGGAGAAGGUCCCAAGGGUCCGGCUG